GAUGAAGAACGUAGCGAAAUGCGAUAAGUAAUGUGAAUUGCAGAAUUUAGUGAAUCAUCGAAUCUUUGAACGCACAUUGCGCCCCCUGGCAUUCCGGGGGGCAUGCCUGUUCGAGCGUCAUUACAACCCUCAAGCUCUGCUUGGUAUUGGGCUCUGCCGGUCCCGGCAGGCCUUAAAAUCAGUGGCGGCGCCACUCGGCUUCAAGCGUAGUAAUUCUUCUCGCUUCGGAGACCCGGGUGCGUGCUAGCCAGCAACCCCCAACUUUCUCAGGUUGACCUCGGAUCAGGUAGGGAUACCCGCUGAACUUAAGCAUAUCAAUAAGCGGAGGA
rnacentral:misc_RNA from 1 species